rnacentral:lncRNA from 1 species
AGGACGGGAAGAGGAAGCAGCCAAAUACACUGCGGUCCAAGUUUAAUUGACUGUGCGCUGGAGUUCAGCGAAGUUGCGACAGCAUACGGAGACACAUUUUUCUUCUACGCACGCCAUACAGACCACCGCUUGUCUCCAGCACAGUGAGGGUAUUCACAUGAAGGAAACCUUGUGUUUUCAGCAUGGCACUUUGAUUGAAUUGACAUUCCUUGCUUGGAACAUUGGCAUACAAAACCCAAAAGAUGAGGAUGACUGGCAGUGAUGACCUUUUCAGUAGACAACACGGAAUUCUUUUACCUCCUACUUCAAAAUACACACCGGAAUGGCACUGUUGGUUGGACAUCUGACUUGUUAAGUCAGGGCAGAUCGAUCAACCUCAGCUUCAGCGAGAAGUGCAAUCUGACAUCUACAAAAGCACUG